GGGAAUAUUGGACAAUGGGCGCAAGCCUGAUCCAGCAAUGCCGCGUGUGUGAAGAAGGUCUUCGGAUUGUAAAGCACUUUCGACGGGGACGAUGAUGACGGUACCCGUAGAAGAAGCCCCGGCUAACUUCGUGCCAGCAGCCGCGGUAAUACGAAGGGGGCUAGCGUUGCUCGGAAUGACUGGGCGUAAAGGGCGCGUAGGCGGCUUGUACAGUCAGAUGUGAAAUUCCCGGGCUUAACCUGGGGGCUGCAUUUGAUACGUGCGGGCUAGAGUGUGAAAGAGGGUCGUGGAAUUCCCAGUGUAGAGGUGAAAUUCGUAGAUAUUGGGAAGAACACCGGUGGCGAAGGCGGCGACCUGGUUCAUGACUGACGCUGAGGCGCGAAAGCGUGGGGAGCAAA
rnacentral:rRNA from 1 species